rnacentral:rRNA from 1 species
ACUCUAGAGAUAGAGUCUUCCCCUUCGGGGGACAAAGUGACAGGUGGUGCAUGGUUGUCGUCAGCUCGUGUCGUGAGAUGUUGGGUUAAGUCCCGCAACGAGCGCAACCCUUAAGCUUAGUUGCCAGCAUUAAGUUGGGCACUCUAAGUUGACUGCCGGUGACAAACCGGAGGAAGGUGGGGAUGACGUCAAAUCAUCAUGCCCCUUAUGAUUUGGGCUACACACGUGCUACAAUGGACAAUACAAAGGGCAGCUAAACCGCGAGGUCAUGCAAAUCCCAUAAAGUUGUUCUCAGUUCGGAUUGUAGUCUGCAACUCGACUACAUGAAGCUGGAAUCGCUAGUAAUCGUAGAUCAGCAUGCUACGGUGAAUACGUUCCCGGGUCUUGUACACACCGCCCGUCACACCACGAGAGUCUGUAACACCCGAAGCCGGUGGAGUAACCAUUUAUGGAGCUAGCCGUCGAAGGUGGGACAAAUGAUUGGGGUGAAGUCGUAACAAGGUAGCCGUAUCGGAAGGUG